CCCUUAGAUGUUCUGGGCUGCACGCGUGCUACAAUGGCGUUUCCAGCAAGUCUGCGAACCCGAGAGGGCCAGCGGAUCUUCGAAUUGGCGUCGUGAUCGGGACAGUCGAUUGCAAUUAUUUGACUCAAACGAGGAAUUCCUUGUAAUCGCGAUUCAUCAUAUCGCGCUGAAUACGUCCCCGCCCUUUGUACUCACCGCCCGUCGCUCCUACCGAUUGAGCGAUCCGGUAAAUGUUUUGGAUUGGUGCCGGGGCGGCUAGCUGCCGGUCGCUACGAAAUUUUGUGAACCUUAUCGCUUAGAGGAAGGAAAAGUCGUAACA
rnacentral:rRNA from 1 species